rnacentral:tRNA from 4 species
GCCGGGGUGGCCGAGCGGCCCAAGGCGCGGGACUCGAGAUCCCGUCCCCGCGAGGGGGCGUGGGUUCAAAUCCCACCCCCGGCG